CAGUCGCCACGGGAAUACAGAGGGUGCAAGCGUUAAUCGGAAUUACUGGGCGUAAAGCGCUCGUAGGUGGUUUGUUAAGUUGGAUGUGAAAUCCCCGGGCUCAACCUGGGAACUGCAUCCAAAACUGGCAAGCUAGAGUAUGGUAGAGGGUGGUGGAAUUUCCUGUGUAGCGGUGAAAUGCGUAGAUAUAGGAAGGAACACCAGUGGCGAAGGCGACCACCUGGACUGAUACUGACACUGAGGUGCGAAAGCGUGGGGAGCAAACAGGAUUAGAUACCCCUGUAGUCCCUGUCUCUUAUAA
rnacentral:rRNA from 1 species